rnacentral:rRNA from 1 species
CAACUCUCAACAACGGAUAUCUUGGCUCCCGCAACGAUGAAGAACGCAGCGAAAUGCGAUACCUAGUGUGAAUUGCAGAAUCAUGUGAAUCAUCGAGUCUUUGAACGCAAAUUGCGCCUGAGGUCUAGGCCGAAGGCAUGUCUGGCUCAGCGUCGUUUC